AGCUAGUGCAUUGUUCUCUCCCAUAAUUCAACAGUGACUGGGCAGAACAGUAGCAAAUGGUCUCUGGUUUCUGGGUGAUUUUGGCAUAAGGUACAUUGUUGAUCAACACUCAUUCCCCAGCUGUGCAAUCUGUCUUUUGUUGGAAGUCUAUCUUGUAAGAACAGCCAUAGAUUGAAGGUUACAUUUGGAUUUGCAUAGUUUGUAUGAUUAAAUUCUUCCAUGGGACUCUCGACAGGUCUUGC
rnacentral:lncRNA from 1 species